rnacentral:lncRNA from 1 species
CACCCUCAAUUUCCCCAUUUUUACAAACAGGACAGUAUCUUUCCUCUCUAGGAAUGUUAAGAUGUCUUCCCCUAUCAAUCAUUAAAGAAUGCAUAUGCCGUAUUUUCAUUGCUGCUUUAUCAUUUAAAUUGUUUAGUGAAUCAACAAAAUAUGAUGGUCUUUGAACAAUUUUGUAGACUUGACGAAAGAAGCUGAGCUUAGAAGAUU